GGGUAAACCUNAGAAACCCNAAAGGUCGAAUGGGGAAAUUCAUUCRCGUUUCNAACRUSGGSNCCGGGUYRACGNCGAGACGGGCNCGCCGUUCGCRCCACGCUCGCUCCGUCGUCCGGCGCGCCCGGCGUCGAACGCGUGCACUUUUCCCCUAGUAGGACGUCGUGAUCCGUUGGACGUCGGUCUACGGCCCGCCGGUUAGCCCGUCCGGGGUAAACGCUUCGCGGCGUCCCGGGCGGACCGGCGGUGUCCCGGCCGGCUCGUCCGACGGUAAGAAUUAGGCGCGGGGCCGCUACCACUCGGUUAGCGUCCGGCCCGCCGCAAGCACGUCCGGCGUUCGGCACGGCGAUCGRACCCGGUGCCGGUCCCGUCCCCCGGCGACUGUUGGCGGCGGAGCUCUCGGACAGACCUCCGUUAAACGCCGAUCGACGACGCUAUAGCU
rnacentral:rRNA from 1 species